UCUGACUGGAUGUUGCAUGGAGGUUAAUUUUACCAAUGGCCAGCACAAGCCCUCCUUCACCUAAGCGGCAAUGCCCAUAUGAGCCAUUCAACAUAGCAGAGAACACUGCAAGUUCUCAUUCAUAUUUAGGGCUCCCGGCACUGAUGAUGCUGAUAUUUCAUGGUGUCUACCUAAAAGCGGGUGGUCAUUUCAGCUCAUACUGGUUUACCAAUACGUGUGUCCUGGACUCGAUCCUGGCCGCUUUCCAUAUUUGUUACA